AUUGAACGCUGGCGGCAGGCCUAACACAUGCAAGUCGAGCGGAUGAAGGGAGCUUGCUCCUGGAUUCAGCGGCGGGCGGGUGAGUAAUGCCUAGGAAUCUGCCUGGUAGUGGGGGAUAACGUCCGGAAACGGGCGCUAAUACCGCAUACGUCCUGAGGGAGAAAGUGGGGGAUCUUCGGACCUCACGCUAUCAGAUGAGCCUAGGUCGGAUUAGCUAGUUGGUGGGGUAAAGGCCUACCAAGGCGACGAUCCGUAACUGGUCUGAGAGGAUGAUCAGUCACACUGGAACUGAGACACAGUCCAGACUCCUACGGGAGGCAGCAGUGGGGAAUAUUGGACAAUGGGCGAAAGCCUGAUCCAGCCAUGCCGCGUGUGUGAAGAAGGUCUUCGGAUUGUAAAGCACUUUAAGUUGGGAGGAAGGGCAGUAAGUUAAUACCUUGCUGUUUUGACGUUACCAACAGAAUAAGCACCGGCUAACUUCGUG
rnacentral:rRNA from 1 species